rnacentral:precursor_RNA from 10 species
UGCGGACUGGCGCUGCUGCUGCUGCCUCUGCGUGUUCACCGGACUUGCCUUGAUGUGGCGAUAUGAUGAAACGAUUAAGGCACGCGGUGAAUGCCAAGGGUCGGCGGGUGGCCUCCUACAUGGACAA